UGCGGCCAAGAUAGUAUUUAAAGUAUUAUUAUCCAUAACUUGUGGAUUUUCAUCCUCUGAAGCCAUCGUACCUAGUAAAAGAAACAAUAAACAAAAACAACAAAGAAGUUAGUAUUAAGAAAUCAACCUCACAAUCUCUCAAAGUACACACCGGUGUUUGUGUCGCAAAAGGUGUUGCUAGUAUUGAAGGAUCAUUUCUACUCUGAUGGAAGACUUGGUUUCAAUUACUGCUUAAGGUCGGAAUAGAUUCUUAUUUGAACAAAAAUAGAUGACUCAAACAAACUAACAUACUGAAACAAAAAUAACAACAACCCAAACAAGAAAACACAAAAGAAAACAGACAAAGGAAGAAAAAUGGACUCUAAGACUAAUCAAAUAACUAAGUAGAUCAAUUAAUAGUUGUUAAUUACAUUUAGGAAUCAAGAAAUGAUAUUAAGAAUAAGGAAAUGGAAUUAGUAUGUUGGAACCUAAGCAAAAAUAAAUUUUGGAUCAGUUGAGAUGUGUUUGGAUGAGGUGCAGGGACAUAUGGGAUCCUCCCUCGCAGGUGGGAUUUCGCAAGCCACUUCCAGUAAACAUGGAGUCACCUACAUUAGUGACCUAUAUCUGCGGGUACUUGACCUGUAUGGGCAGGUACAGGCGCACAUGUCCCUAGGAAUGCACUUAAAGCUUUUGACUUUUGUUCUUUUAUGGGCCCUUCGCACUCUUUUUCAGGAAUAUUCAUUUUUCUUUUUGAAUAUUCCUUUGUGCUAAUAACUUUUCUUUCCUUUUUAUUUAUUUUAUUAGAUCAAAGCUUCCUCAGAAUCUCAUAAAGCUUCCUCAAAAGAUAGAGGUUGUCAUUGCUCUGGAACUGAUAGACACUCAGGGCUCUAUAGAAUAUCUCCAACAAGUUUGUCCUUGAAAUCUGAUAGUUGGGUACCAUGCUAAGCUUCUUUUUGAAACUGAACUAUGCCUCAUACAUAGAUUCUAACUACAGCUGUCUGAAAUUAUAAAUCUCAUCCUUAAGCUAAAAUACUCUGGAUAGAGCAAAGAACUUGUUCAAGAAUUGUCUGUGUAGCUCAUUCCAUGUAGUGAUAGAUAUCAUUCUCUAGUAAGUGAGAAAGGGAACAACCUCAGUCUAAGUGCCUCCUAAUCUACCCUAGGUAUGGUAUAUGAAGUGUAGAUCCCAGUAAAAUUUGACAUAUGCAUGUUUGUGUCGUCUGUAGGCAACCACACAAACACGCCCUUCUAGUAUAAGAGCUGAAUUAUAGCACUAGAAUAUUGAACUUGUCAUCAGGGGGAAAAUAUGAGGAAUAAUAGCUCCAGUCUCUAUUGGCUCAACGUAUCAAAGAUCUUCUUCAUCAUCUAUAUAUGGAUGCAUAUGCUGGUAUGUUGGGAUUACUUGGAUAUAAGCACCUCUAACUCUAUUCUGAUUUCCUCUGAGUGUUGCUAGGCGGUCUACUUCUUAUCUCUGCUCUACCUACUAAUCUUCUUUCAUUACCCUUCUUUUAUUCAUCUUGAGCUAAAAUUUCACCAGUCUGUCAAUCAACAACAUCAUGUACUCCUUCAAAAGUAGGGAGAGGUGCAACAUCAUGAACCCCUUUAAGAUUAUAAUCUCUUUUCUAUUCCACCAUCCUACUAGGUAUUUGUAGGAUCCUCUCUGAAUUUGGAUUUACUAGGAGUAAGAGAUUGACUUUACUCCGUGUGCUAAGCAUACACCGGUGUAUACCCAACUAAGAACAAAACCAAAAAAGAAAACUCAAAAACUGCAACAACUUCAAUUCAAAAAUCAACACCAUAUUUCCUGGCAAUAGCGCCAAAAUUUGGUGUCAUCCAAGCUAUAACUCCUCUCAAAAGAUGAUACGAUCACUGAACCCAAGGGAAUACUUGUAAUUGUGGCUCUCAGCAGUUGUAAUCAACAGACGGAACUGGAAAAUUAAAUAGGGAGAUUUGAGUAUCAAUGUCGAACUAGUAGCAAAUAUCAACUUCGAUUGUAUUCAGUCGUAACUGAAUACUAGGACUGUGUUCCCCCAAAAUUCUCAACUCCAUAGGCUUAUCAUGCUAUGUUGUACCAACUGAUACCUUGCAUGUAGAAUCAGUAAGUUAUAUACCAUCUACAGUCUUUUGGACGAGCAGACAGAUUUCACCCUUUAUCUUUUAAGUCUCAGGAUGUCGCAUUACUAACCCUUAUCUUUAUCCCAGUUAACUAUUACCUUUGAGUCUCUAGCUAUUACAUGAAAUCUAACCAUCUUACUUAGAUAGUACCUACUAGCGUGAAUCGACAGUUAAACUCCAAAUUAUUGUUGUCAUUAUCUUUUUCUUGUCCCUACUCCUCUUUUGGAGUAAGUAGCAAUAAUCUAGGUGGGAUCCUAAUGUUUGCAAUGCUAGAAUAACUAGUAAAGUGAAUAUAAUGCAAUACAUGCAUGGGUAUCGAUUCAUAACAACAAUAGAACUUUUCCUACUUCAUCAAACCGUCAGGGUUUCCACAACCCUAGCUAUGAGUUCUUAGUCGCUCAUGCUCGUAAAGUAAUAAACAACACUCAUGAUUGAAAACAUAAGAUGAAAUCACAAUAAGAAGUAAAACCCCAAAACUGUAACUGAACUAAUCAAUCAAAGUCUAAACAAAAGAAUUCCAAGACUAAAAUUGAAUAUUGUGAUCAAAAUAUAUUUGUGGGUAUCAAGAGUGUAUAACUUCUACUAAAAACACAUAAGGGGUAUUUAUAGUACAUGAGGAAACCGUAAAAUCAAAACCGAACGAAAUAGCAGAAAAAAAUCAGUGGCUAGUUGUGGUCCCUAUUUGUGCCCUGACCCUGGACGCAGAUAGUACUUCCAGCCUGCAGGAUGAGCGCAAGUGGUGACCGCAAGUGCCAGGACCAAAGAAUUUUGUAGCUUAGCUCUCGGGAUAUUGGACUUCUGACACUUGCUUUGCCCAUAUGCGGUGCACAUGUACUACAUCUGGUCCACAUGUUGAUUUAGCAAGUGUUGGGAGUCAUUUUUUAGCUCUUCUUAAGUUCUCGCACAUGUUUUAAUCUUGAACGAGCUGAAAAGUGUCCCAAAGAUCCAUAAUUGCACCCAUAAGUAGCAAAAAAUACCUUUUUCAUCUUUUUCACAAACUUAGCAUCCAAAACAUGAUUUUCUACAAAAUAUACCCAAAACGCAUCAUAUCUAACAAAACAACCUCAGAAACCUGCAUAUUUUACUCAUUUUAAGUGUCGAAAGUGCUAUAUUUCUAUAACACAUCAACUUUGCAUACCUACUUUGUUCUUCUAUGGACAUAAAGGUUAAGGUCACUGGAUAUGGAGCAAUCCCUAGUAAUAUCCCAUCAACACUAGGAGAAUCUAUAGUAAAAUAUGCAUCUGAAGUCUGAAGCCUUGACGUGUCAUACCAAAACAAAAUAGGAGCCACCCUCUGAAAGAAACCCAACACUCAAACUAAGCAAUCAUCAAGCAUAAGUAUGGUCAAAGGUGGUAUUUGCACUGGCCUCAACCCCUCGAUCUUAAUAGUCCCAACAACAAUAGAAACUUUGGAACAUGAAGAGGCAAUCCUAUCCUAACAUCUAGCUGCUUCGUAUACUCCAAUUUGACCUCUGCCCCAAAUGCUACUUCUAUUGUCCACUAAAGGAGCAAGGUCUGAAUCGCUAGCUAUAAAAGAAUGCUUGCUCACCAUCUUUGAGAGAGUGAAUAAGAUUUGGAGUUACACAAAGAUUAAGAAUGCACAACACAAAUUGGAGAAAUGAUUUUCUCCUAAAGACAUGUAGCCUUUUAAAGAUAGAUAUUGGACAUCUCCGCAAUGAUCCACAAGACUAUAUUAGACUUGACUUGUUCUAAUUAGACCAAUGAACCUGGAUUUGAUACCAAUUUAUCAUAAUCCAAAAUAGGCACGUGAUGGAACUUGUCACACCCUACGGACAAGUAAGCCUAUCCCAAUCCAAAAUCAAUAAUCAAAUAUAAUAGAAGUAGGAGAAAGGAAGAAAGAUAAACCCACAAUAAUUAAGGAUGAAUUAAUAACUCAAGAUACAUCUCAGAUCUGGUUGUCACUAGUACAAGCCUCUAGUAUAGAAUGAUAACAUUAACCAAAGAAUCUUAAGUGUGGGUAUGCAUAAGAUAAAUAAAGAGAGAUCUAAUAAGCUUUGAAAGUCUACCAUCUACUCCUCGAUCUGCAACUCCAACAUGAUGGAGCAUAAUGUGCCAUCUACUACCCAAAAAAAACUUGCACGGUGUACAAAAAUAUAAGAAAAAAGGAGAGAAAAACAAUGGUGAGUACUAAAAUAUGUAUACUCAGCAAGCAUCAUCGAUACUAACCCUAAUCUAAGCAAUGACGAGAACUACCACCCCAACUACCUAAGGUUUUCCCCCAAAAUAUUCUAACUUAGUAAAUACACUACUUUAUCUAAUCAUGAUAACCUAACACAAUAUUUAUAGGAUUACUAAUAUACAGGGUAGACACAUAAAUCUAGAUGAUUUGAUACGGACCAUUUAUGAUCAGCAGUUAAGGGAAGCUAUUUAUGAAGGAAAAUCACUAACACAGUAUAUUAGGCUUAAUUAAAUAUGUUCAACCAACAAUAUAGGUUAAAAUAAUAAGAGUGUCUAUGAAAAAAGUAUAUCAUGCUACCAAAAGGUGCGACACAAGAGUCUCUCAUAUCAAACCAUAGCCAUACCCCACGUCUCAUAAUAUCUCAACUUGCCUUUAAAGAAGAUUUGCGAGCCAACACAUAGUCCAAAGCAUCAAGAAGAAGCUCUAAUUCCUCAAAUUAUCACCAAACACAUCCAAUUUAAUCAAAUAUGAUAUCUACGAUUCAAAACAAUUCCAACGAUAUCCAUAUCAACUAUAUUUGUUCUAGAUCUAAAACCUACUUAGAAAAUAAUUUUUCAAAAAUACAAGGGUAAAAUAGAGUUUUAUGUAAUAAUAAUGUUCAUCAUGAUAAGAGGAUUCUAAAUUUGAAAACUCAUGUAAAAAUGAGGUAGAACCGGACUUCAAAUCAACGAAAAACUAAUUUUAUAAUUUAACAAGCAAAACACCAAAAAUCACAUUUCAAGAGAAGGAUGUGAAGAUAGGUUUGUAAGGAAAUCAAUGGAAAAUGGUGAGUACAAAGUUUAGAAAUAUACCCAUGGAAGAAAUCUCGAAAAAACCUUUGAAAUCACCUAAUUCAGAGGUGAUAAGCUCAAAAAAUAAAGAAAAAUAUGUUUUGGGGUUGAAGUGGAAUUAAUAUUUUGUCCAGGUCUAAAGGCCUUCACGAACGCGGGCCUCAUGAUUGCAAUCGUGAGUUUUUCCCAACCUAGACCUUCAUGAUUGCAAGCCUAUGGACGCGAAUUCAAAGAAGAAACAACUCAACCCUUCAUAAAUGCAAGCCUCUGGUCGUAUACACGAAGAGUAAAUAUGACCCAACCUCGACCCAGGUUCAUCUUUCAUCGCGAAUGCACCCUACCAUCCAUGAUUGUGAUGCACAAGGAAUUCCUUCAUCACAAAAUUGAGGUUAGG
rnacentral:lncRNA from 1 species